rnacentral:rRNA from 1 species
UACGAAGGUGGCAAGCGUUACUCGGAAUUACUAGGCGUAAAGGGCAGGUAGGUGGUCUGAUAAGUCUGUUGUGUAAGCUCCUGGCUUAACUGGGAGAGGUCAACAGAAACUAUCAGGCUUGAGUAUAGGAGAGGAUACUGGAAUUCCCGGUGUAGCGGUGAAAUGCGCAGAGAUCGGGAGGAACACCAAUGGCGAAAGCAGGUAUCUGGACUAUUACUGACACUCAGCUGCGAAAGCUAGGGGAGCAAACAGG